rnacentral:rRNA from 1 species
GGUUUCCUCCUGGCUCAGAUUGAACGCUGGCGGCAGGCCUAACACAUGCAAGUCGAGCGGCAGCGACUUAACUGAACCUUCGGGGAACGUUAAGGGCGGCGAGCGGCGGACGGGUGAGUAAUGCCUGGGAAUAUGCCCUGAUGUGGGGGAUAACUAUUGGAAACGAUAGCUAAUACCGCAUAAUCUCUUCGGAGCAAAGAGGGGGACCUUCGGGCCUCUCGCGUCAGGAUUAGCCCAGGUGGGAUUAGCUUGUUGGUGAGGUAAUGGCUCACCAAGGCAACGAUCCCGAGCUGGUCUGAGAGGAUGAUCAGCCACACUGGAACUGAGACACGGUCCAGACUCCUACGGGAGGCAGCAGUGGGGAAUAUUGCACAAUGGGGGAAACCCUGAUGCAGCCAUGCCGCGUGUGUGAAGAAGGCCUUCGGGUUGUAAAGCACUUUCAGUCGGGAGGAAGGUAGUGUAGUUAACACCUGCAUUAUUUGACGUUACCUACAGAAGAAGCACCGGCUAACUCCGUGCCAGCAGCCGCGGUAAUACGGAGGGUGCGAGCGUUAAUCGGAAUUACUGGGCGUAAAGCGCAUGCAGGCGGCCUGUUAAGUCAGAUGUGAAAGCCCGGGGCUUAACCUCGGAAUUGCAUUUGAAACUGGCAGGCUAGAGUCUUGUAGAGGGGGGUAGAAUUUCAGGUGUAGCGGUGAAAUGCGUAGAGAUCUGAAGGAAUACCAGUGGCGAAGGCGG